rnacentral:rRNA from 1 species
UACGGAGGAUGCGAGCGUUACUCGGAAUUACUAGGCGUAAAGCGUAUGUAGGUGUUAAAUAAGUCUAUGGUGAAAUUUCCGGGCUCAACCCGGAAGGGUACAUAGAUACUGUUUGGCUUGAGUGUGUGAGGGGGAGACGGAAUUCCUGGUGUAGCGGUGAAAUGCGUAGAUAUCAGGAGGAACACCGAUGGCGAAAGCAGUCUCCUGGCACAAUACUGACACUGAGGUACGAAAGCUAGGGUAGCAAACA